rnacentral:rRNA from 1 species
CAGUCGCCGCGGUAAUACGUAGGUGGCAAGCGUUGUCCGGAAUUAUUGGGCGUAAAGGGCUCGCAGGCGGUUUCUUAAGUCUGAUGUGAAAGCCCCCGGCUCAACCGGGGAGGGUCAUUGGAAACUGGGAAACUUGAGUGCAGAAGAGGAGAGUGGAAUUCCACGUGUAGCGGUGAAAUGCGUAGAGAUGUGGAGGAACACCAGUGGCGAAGGCGACUCUCCGGUCUGUAACUGACGCUGAGGAGCGAAAGCGUGGGGAGCGAACAGGAUUAGAUACCCGUGUAGUCCCUGUCUCUUAUAC